GGCGGGGUGCUAUACAUGCAAGUCGAGCGGACAGAUGGGAGCUUGCUCCCUGAUGUUAGCGGCGGACGGGUGAGUAACACGUGGGUAACCUGCCUGUAAGACUGGGAUAACUCCGGGAAACCGGGGCUAAUACCGGAUGCUUGUUUGAACCGCAUGGUUCAAACAUAAAAGGUGGCUUCGGCUACCACUUACAGAUGGACCCGCGGCGCAUUAGCUAGUUGGUGAGGUAAUGGCUCACCAAGGCGACGAUGCGUAGCCGACCUGAGAGGGUGAUCGGCCACACUGGGACUGAGACACGGCCCAGACUCCUACGGGAGGCAGCAGUAGGGAAUCUUCCGCAAUGGACGAAAGUCUGACGGAGCAACGCCGCGUGAGUGAUGAAGGUUUUCGGAUCGUAAAGCUCUGUUGUUAGGGAAGAACAAGUACCGUUCGAAUAGGGCGGGACCUUGCCGGUACCUACCCUUAAUGCCACGGCUACCUACGUGCCAAGAACCGCGGGUAAUAAGAAGGGGAGCAAGGCGU
rnacentral:rRNA from 1 species